rnacentral:rRNA from 1 species
AAUAUUGUACAUUGGGCGAAAGCCUGAUCCAGCCAUGCCGCGUGUGUGAAGAAGGUCUNCCGAUUNUNAAGCACUUUAAGUUGGGNGGAAGGGCAGUAAGCGAAUACCUUUCUGUUUUGACGUUACCGACAGAAUAAGCUCCGUAUAACUCUGUGCGAGCAUCCGCGGUAAUACAGAGGGUGCAAGCGUUCAACGGAAUUACUGUGCGUAAAGCGAGCGUAGGUGGUGCGUUAAGUUAGAUGUGAAAUCCCCGGGCUCAACCUAGGAACUGCAUCAAAAACUGGAGAGCUAGAGUAGGGCAGAGGGUGGUGGAAUUUCCUGUGUAGCGGUGAAAUGCGUAGAUAUAGGAAGGAACACCAGUGGCGAAGGCGACCAACUGGGCUCAUACUGACACUGAGGUGCGAAAGCGUGGGGAGCAAACAGG